CCACCCCUCCUCAGGUACCUGUCACUGUAGGCGGCUGCAGCUGCUGCUGGCUGAGCGUAUCUGUAGGCGGCAUAGCCUCCCUGCAAGGGAUACAGGAGAACCACCCAUGGCCCCCAUCAUACAACUGACACCUUGUGAAAUGGAGAAGACACGCCUGGCUCGUCGUGCUGCGGGGAAUCCUUUACUGCUGCCACCCUGAGCCGGGAUAACCCAGGGCUGCACUUACAUAAAUCUCAGCACCAUAAAAGCCAUCCUGAUACACGACCCUGGAAGCAAACGGACAAGAAAGUGGUGGGAACGCUGGAGAGAUGAGCAAAUAGAGGUUCACAGAGGCACGGCAGCCUCCAGUUACAGGGCUGAUAGUAACACCCGGUCAAACCUGGAGAGUUUUGUUUCCUGAAGUGGAAACUUCUGCCCCUCUGACCGAACGGUGAAUUUGAGUCCUCCAGAGCGUUAAGCAAAGUCAAGCCUUGGUCAGCAGAGCCCACGAGCUGGGCCUCGCAGCCACCUGUGAUUGCCGCCAAAGUGGGCAGAGGUUUCUUCCUCUCUUCACUCUCUGUUGUUUAACUGGCUUCGGUUCUGUGCCCAUCCGUGCCAAGGAUGCAGUCACUGAGGGAUGGAUUCCCUCCUGAAUCCCAUGCUCCUUGGCACCCUCAGGUAUGCCAGACAGCAGAGGGGUGUGGCUCUCAGGAGGGGCUGUGCAGCCCCCAGGGUCACCCUGACCCUGUAAACAUGUCUACGGCUUCCCUUCCUGCACUGAGAACCAGGUCUCUAAAGUCACACCCAGUACAGGCCCAGCACAGGUGCAAAGCCUGGGAGCCUCCAGAGGUUUAGAAAGAAUUUGAGCUUUGUUAUCCUCAAAAAAGCACACAUGUAUACCUAUGGCUGAUUCACAUUGAUGUAUGACCGAAACCAACACAAUAUUGUAAACCAAUUAUCCUUCAAUUAAAAAAAAAAAAAACCAGGAUGGGAGUGACAAUAAUCUCGUCUAAAUGGAGUCUGGCCAGAGCCCCAGCCCUACUCCAGGAGGUCAGGUGAGGGGCCUGGGCUGGUGGGUCAGGUGGUAGGUCUGCCCACAGUCCUGGCACAGGCUUUCUGUGCUGGCCCGUCCCCUGAUUCCAUGCACAUCUGAUCAGACCGGGACAAGCGAGUCUUGGGGUGGCUUGGUCCACUCUUUCCUGCUGGGGAUUGGGGGGUGGGAAGCAAAGCUGAAAGACCCAUCCUGACGGAGCGAGGCUGCUGCUCCCUGGCAAGAGGUGCGAACUCAAAAAGGCUCCAACGAGGUGCCAGCUACAUUCAAACCAGUUCCUUGCCCGGUGAAGUUAAGGCACAGGGUGGCCAGCCGAGAGCUGUCCUUCCACUGCUCCCAGCUGCCAGCAUUUAGCAUCGGCAGUUUCGUUUCAAAGACGGGUCACCUCUGCUUACAGUCAGGUCCAGGUAGGUAUGGGCAAGGCCGCUUGGCUAACUGGGCCUCAACCUUUCAGUGUUUCAAAGGCCGGGGGUUGGGGGAAGGCGACUGUCCAUCUGUCAUCACACUCAUUAAAAUACUGAACACCUCUAGCCUGGGCUUCCCUCGGUGCUUAGAAAAUAAGCAACAAUCCAGGAAGUGGCCACCUUCCCCCUGCGCCUGAAGCCUGCCCUUGGCCUCUGGGUGCUGGACACCCCACGGGGA